UACAGAGGGUGCGAGCGUUGUUCGGAAUUACUGGGCGUAAAGGGCGCGUAGGCGGCCUUCUAAGUCGAACGUGAAAUCCCCGGGCUCAACCCGGGAACUGCGUCCGAUACUGGAAGGCUUGAAUCCGGGAGAGGGAUGUGGAAUUCCAGGUGUAGCGGUGAAAUGCGUAGAUAUCUGGAGGAACACCGGUGGCGAAGGCGACAUCCUGGACCGGUAUUGACGCUGAGGCGCGAAAGCCAGGGGAGCAAACGGG
rnacentral:rRNA from 1 species